UUCAAUCGAGCUGCAGUUGCCACCCUACACCAAGCACAGCGAUGCCGAUGCCGGAUCGGAGCCGCAUCUGCGACCUGUGCUGCGGUUGCAGCAGAGCUGGAUCAAGGCCAGGGAUCAAAUCUGCAUCUUCAUGGAUACUAGUUGGGUUUUUAUUUUUUUGCUCUUUAGGGUCACACCUGCAACAUAUGGAAGUUUCCAGGCUAAGGGUCAAAUUGGAGCUGCAUCUGCUGGCCUACACCACAGCCACAGCCACCCUGACUCCUUAACCUACUGACUGAGGCCAGGGAUCGAACCCGAAUCUUCAUGGAUACUAGUCUGGUUCGGAACCUACUGAGCCACAGCGGGAACUCCACCGGUUGCGUCCUUAACCCUCUGAGCUGCGCUGGGAAUGCCUCUUUUGUGCGGGUUAUUUCUGGACUCGAUUCUGCUCUGUUGGUCUGUGGGUCUAUCCCAUCGCCUAUACACGACAGGCAAAAACUUCCAAGAUGAUUUCUCCAACUGAAAAAAAGUGUUUUUGGUGUUUAGUCAUUUUUUUGGUUUUGUUUUGUUUUUGUUUUUGUUUUCUGUUUUUUUGUCUUUUUGCCAUUUCUUGGGCCGCUCCCACGGCAUAUGGGGGUUCCCAGGCUAGGGGUCGAAUCGGAGCUGAAGCCACUGGCCUACGCCAGAGCCACAGCAACGCGGGAUCCGAGCUGCGUCUGCGACCUACACCACAGCUCACGGCAACGCCGGAUCGUUAACCCACUGAGCAAGGACAGGGACCGAACCCGCAACCUCAUGGUUCCUAGUUGGGUUCGUUAACCACUGCGCCACGCCGGGAACUCCCAUUUGUUUUUUUUUUUUUUUUAAUACAUUUUAGAAUCAACUUGUCCAUGUCUACAAAUAAUUCUAGUAUUUAAUUUGAGGAGUUCCCUCAUGGCUCACAGGGGUAAGAAUCUGGCAUUUCACUGCAGUAGCUCUGGUAACUGUGACACAGGUUCCAUCCUGGCCGGGAACUUGCACAUGCCAAAAAAACCAAUAAUUUGAAUCUCCUUAAAACUGUAGGUCAGUUUGGCGGGGAGCCGAGGUAUUUGCUGUUGACUCUUCCAGUCUGUGAACACGGCGUGUGUUUCUCUCUGGUCGUCUUUGAUUUGUGGAUUCAUUGGCAUUUUCCCGGUGAGUCGUCAUAUUGUCUGCGAGUAGGGCAUUUUUUGGUUUGUCUUCCACCCUGGGUGCCUUUUCCUUCCUUUGCUUGCUUGCUUUCGUGUGCUUGGUAGGGCUUUAGAACCGUUUCCUUGUUCUUGAUUUUCGGGGGAGCAUCCAGCCUGUCGCAGUGUGUCUGCUGGAGGGUUUUCCUCAGAUGCCCGUUGCCAUGAUGGGGAAGUUUUUAAGUUUCUAUUCACAGAUACGAAAGCUUGUCAGGUGCUUUUUUGGAUCGGUUGGUGUGGCCGUGUUUUUCUCUUCUUUAGACUGUCACUGUGGUAGGUGACGUCAUUGAUCUUUUCAUACUGAACCAGCUUUGCAUUCCUGGACUAGACCCCACUUGGUCAGGGUGUGUGUGUGUGUGUGUGUGUGAGACCCCACUUGGUCAGGGUGUGUGUGUGUGUGUGUGUGAGACCCCACUUGGUCAGGGGUGUGUGUGUGUGUGUGUGUGAGAGAGACCCCACUUGGUCAGGGUGUGUGUGUGUGUGUGUGGGUGUGUGUGUGUGUGUGAGAGAGACCCCACUUGGUCAGGGGUGUGUGUGUGUGUGUGUGUGUGUGUGUGUGUGUGUGAGUGAGACGUUCCCGGGCCGGGGCUGGAACCUGUGCCUUAGCAGCCCCUUGGGCCGUUGCGGUGGCCCUGCUGGCCCCUUGGCCCUGCCCCAGAGGAGGGCGCACCUUACCCGCGUUUUGUUGAGCGUUGCUGUGUCUGUUUUAUAAGGACAUGUCCAUCGUUCUUGUUUUAUGACAUCCUUGCCUGGCUUUUCCUUGAUGACACCUUUGCUUGUUCUUCUUGCUGUACCUUGUCAGCCAGACUCUGGCCAAAUGGACAGGCUCUUGUCUUUCUUGCUCUCAGCUGGCUUCCGUCCGCUUUGGCGUCCCAGCGCCUUUGUCUGGCACUGGGGCAGCCACGUUGUUCUGCUUGUGUGGUGGGGCCUGCACGGCGUGGACGGGCCACGUCCUUCUCACCUCUGUGCCUUUGUUGGGCUGUUUCUGCGUAGCGUUUCUCUUCCUUCUUUGCCCAGUGACCGCUGCGUCUUCCCAGGAGGGGUCGCGUGCUGUCUCUGUGGGAAGCAUUGCCAUCACCAUGCUAGGCCUGGCUGUUGCUGCCCGUCUGGGUUCCCCUGGAGCCUGUCCUCAGCUGGGCCAGAGACGUUAGACUGGGUUGCAGUCAUUGCUUUAUCGGAACGUUUUCUUCCUUUUUCUUUUUGUUCAUUUACUUAUUUUUUAGAUACUGUUUCAUUAUUUAUUUUACUGCCCUUGCUUAUGGGCCUUCCGGGCUCUCUGCCGUCCACGUGUGGCACUGUCGUGGUGUCUCCUUCCCUCCGGCUUUGGUGAACGUGCUCACCCCCUUGCCUGCAGCACUCACCUUGAUGCAGGAGAGUCUGUGUCCACUUCUUCCUCUCAAGCUCAGACCUGACACUUGGCGUCUUUCCCAUGUGGUGUUAGAGAGUUCCCAUCACAGCUGGGAACUCAAAUGGUUGAUCAGUGAGUCUGACGUUGUGGCUGUUCUCACUAGAAUGACCAUUGCGGCAGGUGAGCUCAGCUUGUCUUGUCCCUGUUGAAAGUAAACUCUUCUUUCCAAACUACAAAAUAGUUCUUGGGUUUACUGGUUGGUUUGCUGGAAAACUUAUCAAAAGAAGCUUUUGUCUAAAGCUCUCAGGCCAGCUGUAUGUGUUUGUACGCUGGACACAUCCGUCAGGUAAGAAGAUUGGCUAGGGAGUUCCCUGGUGGCCUAGCCAGUCGAGCAUCCUGUAUUGUCACAGGUUUGAUCCCUGGCCCAGGAACUUCUGCAUCUGCAGGGGUGUCCCCCCCCAAAAAAAGAUUGUGCUGGAUAAUCUCAAAGGUCUUUUACAACUUGUGAUUCUUGGAUCGUCAGUCCCUUGGUCACGCCCUUUCGGGGACCUCCGAUUGCCCGCUGCAGGGUCUGUAAUGUGUGCAGUGCGUUAGCGGCGCACUUGGAGCAGCUCAGACGCGCCCAGCGCCGCAGGAGAACGUGUUUGUUCUCGAGUCCUCCAGGAAGACUCUCUGCUGUACGGGUGUGGAGUGUGUGGAUGGGGACGGAUGCCCUCACUUGAUCUGGUUUCAGAGCCUGGAGUCUUGCGUGAUUCCUGAGGUAUCUGGCAUCAGAAUCCGUGUGUUUACUCAGAGUCUUGAAGCCUAUGGCAGUCAGCGGGGGCUGGUUAAGUACGUGACUUCUGCUGUUUGAUUUAAUGAGGUAGAGUCUUAAAAGAAACCCUGGAUUGAAGAUAAGGCCCGUAAUGAAAGCAUAUGAGACAGCAAGGAAAUUGAUGGUAGCGCCGCUACUGUCUCCUGCAUAAGCUUUUUAUUGACCACACAGUGAGCUUAAGAAAGUGAGCUAAGUUGGGAGUUCCCGUCGUGGCGCAGUGGUUAAAGAAUCUGACUAGGAACCAUGAGGUUGCGGGUUCGGUCCCUGCCCUUGCUCAGUGGGUUAAGGAUCCGGCGUUGCCGUGAGCUGUGGUGUAGGUCGCAGACGCAGCUCGGAUCCCGCAUGACUGUGGCUGUGGUGGAGGCCAGCGGCUACAGCUCCAAUUAAACACUUAGCCUGGGAACCUGCAUAUGCCGCAGGAGCGGCUCAAGAAAUGGCAAAAAGACAAAGUGAGCUAAGUAGACUCUUAGCUGACUCUUUGAAAUGUGCAGUUAUAUCCACUUUUAUUAUUAGCUAGCCAUGUCUGGCGUUCCUGUCGUGGCUCAGUGGAAAGGAACCUGACUAGGAUCCAUGAGGACGUGGGUUCUGAUCCCUGGCCCUGCUCAGUGGGUUAAGCAUCUGGCAUUUCCCUGAGCUGUGGUGUCGGUCGCAGAUGCAGCUCGGAUCCCGCAUGACUGUGGCUGUGGUGGAGGCCGGCGGCUACGGCUCUGAUUGGACCCCUAGCCUGGGAACCUCCAUAUGCUGCAGGUCCAGCUCUAAAAAGAAAAAAAAUAGUAAAAACACAACCCCCUCCCCCACAAGUGGUUUUCUUGGAUGUUAGAGAAGGAAGUACCUGGUCUUCACAGUCAGGCAUCCAGAAGAGAAACACCACCUCUGCCCCCUUUUUUAGCAGCAUUUCCGGUCAUCCUCCACUCUCUCUAGUACUUUGUACAGUUCCCCUGAGCCUAAGGAUGAGCUCCUGAGGAAAUGCGCAUUUCUCCCACCCCAGCCCCUUUUUCGGCUGCACCCACGGCGUAUGGACGUUCCCGGGCCAGGGAGCAACUCUGAGCCACGUCUGGGCCCUUCGCCACAACUGCAGCAGCACUGGAGCUGGGGAUCAAACGGGCAGCACCACAGAGACCAGCCGGGCCAUGACCUUGCUGCAGCACAGCGGGAGCUCGGAGGCGCACACUUCUGUGAGGCCGAGUCGCAGCAGCUCUGGCUAAUUUGCACAGACAGGUGUUGACUGGUGCAUCGGGAACUUACAGCGUUUUGAAAGGGCUGCUGGAACCAACUCUCUAGCUGGGCUUCCGAGAAGGAGUUCCAGAACCAGGUGUAAGCCCCCAGCUGUGGAGCGAGUCAAGCCAGUCUGCAGCACCAGCCAUGCUGGUCUGCCGCUGAAAGCCAGGUCCCUGGCCAGAACCCAGCUCUCUAGGGGGCUUGAGGGAGUAGCCACAAGGCGACAUACCUCAGGGGAAGCGAAAUGGCAACAAAGUCACCACACGGCUUUGUUAGCAAAUACUUUUGGAGUAUUCACAGGACAUACUGCGGAAGAUUUGAAAGAAGUAAAUUGUUAGAAUAAAUGACGAUGUGUGGUGGGCUUGCCUGGGAUGCUGGAAACACAGAUGUUUCUUACUGGUUUUUUUUAAGGGCUGCACCUGUGGCAUAUGGAGGUUCCCAGGCUGGGGUCCAAUCAGGCCUACCCCACAGCCACAGCAACACAGGAUCCGAGCCGCAUCUGUGACCUACACCACAGCUCACGGCAACACUGGAUCCGUAACCCACUGAGCAAGGCCAGGGAUCGAACCCGCAUCCUCAUGGAUACUAGUUGGAUUCGUUUCCUUUGAGCCACAAUGGGAACUCCUCAGGUAUUUCUAAACAGGUUUCAGCUUCUGCUUUUUGAUAGAUUCAGAUUGAGUACUUUGUGUGAGCUCUUGAAUGGCCUAGAGAAUAUAUAUUCUGAAAUUAUUUCUUUAAUGAACAGGGUUUUGUGGGAAAACUGGAUGUAUCUGGUGAUGGAGCAGCCACUUUAAAAAAAUUCGUGGAUGGGGUGGGAUUGCAGAAAGAACAACACAUGUGAAAUUUAUUCACCACAUGAUGCAUAAGAGAAGUUCUUGAAGCAGCGACUUGAAGCCAGAAGCACAUAGGGGCUCAGCCGACCUUUACACAAGUAGUAAAUCUUUACAGUGCUUUGUAAUGAGAUGGGGAGAAACUGAACAUACUUGGCAAGGCACAGAGGUUUGCUGGUUAUCUUGAGACAGAAUUGAAAGCAUGGCCUAUUUGGAGGUGAAUUGAGGGUUUUCUUUGACGUAAGGGCAAGGGGUCUAAAUUUGCUGACCUUUUCUGCCAUGAGUGGCUGUCAGUAGAAAGCUACCUAGCAAAUUCAGUAUUUUUGAGAAAAUAAACACUUGACCUGCCCUCUCAAGGACUUUUUAACAAUGAACAGAAAAUUGCUUUUUGAAAGAAACUCUUGCCAUAGGGCUUUGAAAGUGAUGUUUCUAGAGUUGUCUCCACUAUUUGUCUUGUUAAGAGUGAUGCAAAUAGUCAUCUUACUGCGCACUUGAACUUGGAAGUGAAACGUUCAGCCUGUUUAACAACUUCCUGUUGUAACACUUAGUUUUGAACUCAUUUUUUACAAAUACAGGGAUGUUGGGAGUUCCCUCUGUGGUGCCCGGGUUAAGGAUCUGGCGUUGCCACAGCUGUGGCUUGGGUCGCAGCUGCGGCUUGGAUUCAGUCCUUGGCCCGGGAACUUUUAUACGCCAUGGGUGUGACCAAAAAAGAAAGAAAAAAAA
rnacentral:lncRNA from 1 species